CUCCCUGGGCCAGGCACCACUCUUUCAGUUCCUCCAUGGGUUCUGACUCUUUGUCACCAUAGACUGAAAAACUGAAAGGAUUGGGACAGGAGGAGAGAUUGCAGCGUUGGAGCCAUGGCUAUAAAUAUCAGAGUUAAUGAGGGAGGACUCCUGGAGACCGAAAUCAACUCCUUCGUAGGGACGGUUGAGCAGUUACACCUCAUGUGGAUACCAAGGAGUGGAGACAGAGG